AUCCCUGUAGUAAUACGUAAGACCCCUUGAAGACGACGAGGUAGAUAGGGCCAAGGUGUAAGUGCAGUAAUGUACUCAGCUGAUGGUUACUAAUAGGUCGAGAGCUUCACUUG
rnacentral:rRNA from 1 species